GACGGAGGAUGCAAGCGUUAUCCGGAAUGAUUGGGCGUAAAGCGUCCGCAGGUGGCAGUUCAAGUCUGCUGUCAAAGACCGGGGCUUAACUUCGGAAAGGCAGUGGAAACUGAACAGCUAGAGUAUGGUAGGGGCAGAGGGAAUUCCGGGUGUAGCGGUGGAAUGCGUAGAGAUCCGGAAGAACACCGGUGGCGAAGGCGGCCUGCUGGGCAGUGGCUGACGCUGAGGCGCGAAAGCGUGGGGAGCAAACAGG
rnacentral:rRNA from 1 species